ensembl:lncRNA
CCCAGCUCGUGGUGAGACGCAGUGGUGCUUUUACCAUUAGCACACAGAUGGUAAGCUGAAGCAAAGAGGGAUUUGGAGACCAAAUCACCGCCUGCCCUCAGUACAUCCCAAAAGCUGAGCGUCUCUCCCAGCAUCUCUGCUUCCCACAGAGAGAUCCUCUGCCACAGGAGAACCAGGACUGAACGUACAGCUCUUCCAGCAUCAGGCUCCGUGCCCAAUCGGGUAACCUCUGUCCUCAGCCUCGCCUUAUCUGAUUGCAGAGAAGAGGUCAUGGCAGAGCAGGCACCAUCUGUUACCCACAGCUGGCACAGGCACCGCAGCGCCAGCCUGAGCUCAGGACUGCCAGUUCCAGCUCGUCUGACAAACACGAUGACAGCAUCAUAUUGAGGCAGAAGAAAACAAACACAUCGUUUGACAAAUGCAGGCCCUACUGCAGUCCCUACUGGAACUCCUAUAGCUCCUCUGCCUGUACUGCACAGGUGACACCUCAUGCCUGAUUAUCCCAAACACAUGGAUUGUCACAGCCAUGGGAAUUUUGCUGACAAGCAGACACAGCC